rnacentral:lncRNA from 1 species
CUCGAGCCGAAACUCUGGACUCAUCCAACUCAAUCCAAGGUGACAACACUAGUGAGUUGUCCUAGCCUUGGGAGUCGCCAGUCAUGGGAGUAUUGUACAGGUCAAGUCUCUCAGCCAUGUUAAAGGCUACAGAGAGCAGUCUACACAUAAACGUCAUAUAUCUCCAUCAUGUUAUAGUUACAGUCAUAUAUCUCCAUCAUGUUAUAGUUACAGUCAUAUAUCUCCAUCAUGUUAUAGUUACAGUCAAUAUCUCCAUCAUGUAUAGUUACAGGUUAUUUACAGUCAUGUAUCUCCAUCAUGUAUAUUUACAGUCAUGUAUCUCCAUCUAAUUUGACUGAAGGUGAUGAUGCGUUGACCGUCAUCUUGACUUAGCAGAGGCACCAAACACAUAUACACAUGCAUUCAUUUACUGACUUUAUGUGAUGCCAUUGAGGUGGUUCGUUGUUAGCGACCGUAGUUACUGCUUGUGGUUUGACUAUUCAACGCACAAAUGAGGAUAUGAUGAGGUGAUGAUGAUGAUGAUGCCGUGCUGCUCACCUGUUCAGGUCUGAGUCCAGGCUGGUUACCCAGGCGUAUUCCUCAAGGGCACAACCUGAGUCAUCGUCUGACGUGAGCUCCUCUGGAAGCCCAGGGUCAGUUUCCCCAGCUUCCCCCCGUGCUGCUCCAUAUCCAGGCCCCACACCCCCCGUCCGCUGCUCCAUAUCCAGGCCCCGGACACCCCUGUCCGCUGCUCCCAAUCCAGGCCCCGGACACCCACCGGCCGCUCCAGGUUCAUCACACGCGGGCGCUGCCCGAGGGAGACAGAAAAGGAGACGAGGUGUUAUCAAAUGCCACAACUUCCACAAUUCCUCAUUCAGUCAGUGGUUCUUCAGACUUUAUAUAUCGGGAGGGACAUCUCUAUAUCAAACGUUGUUGCCUGUUUCUGCUUUCCUGAAAACACUGGUCUGCUCUCGUAUAUAGAAACAGAGCAGCAGGUAGCCUAGAUCCUAGUGGUUAGAGCAUUGGGCCAGUAACUGAAAGGUUCCUGGACCGAGCUGGCAAGGUAAAAAUCUGUUGUUCUGCCCCUGAACAAGGCCGUUAACCCACUGYUCCCYGGUAGGCCGUCAUUGUAAAUAAGAAUCUGUUCUUAACUGACUUGCCUAGCUAAAGAAACAACAGUAUCUGAAUUKCAGAAUGUAGUUACAGUAGAUGACAGGUUGUAGUGUGCCUAUAUCAUGUACAGUGUGCCAAUAUAAUCCYAGAGUUGAAUCCCUAYAUGAAGUACCACUGUAACAGAUCAUAUACCUCCAACUCCGSAUCGCUGCUGGAAGGCCUGGGUUUAACAGUGAGCUGGAUGGAUGCUCACAGCUCUCACUGUAGAGUUAAGACUGUGCAGUAUAUUAGACAGGUUAGUGGAGUACAGACUGACUGUUAAAUAGAUCUGGUCUUAUAAUCAUGAUUAAAUCCCCUUACAUCACAUGACACUGAACUGUACAUUGAGUCAGAGACCUUUUGUACAGGGCACAUCCAAAGCUGUGCGUGUGUAAAAAAUGCUGAGUAUUUAAUACCUAGUGUGUGGUUUACAGGUUGUUCAAGGACAGGAGGCUUGUGGGACUGACACAGAGCGGUACAUUCAGAGACCUGUUCUACUGGUCACAAUCACAGUGAAACACUGCUGGUUCAUAGGUUGAGGUUGUAUUGGGCACAGGGGGCUUGUGUCCAUGACGACACCACAGUACACACGUAGGAGGACAUGAUAUCUCCUCAUAUAACACGGCUUUGUGUCUGUGAUUGUCUAAGGCACACACAUCACUAUUUCACAGAAUCUCAGCCAUUUUAGGUUCCUUUCAAAGCCUUUUAAAGGACCUGAUAAGGAGGAGGUGGCGGGUUACAUCAAGAGACGUUUAUCACUUCAGUCUCUCUUCUCUCUUAUCUCUGUGUUCACCUACUUCAGAGCCCUCUCUCUAYCCGCGUCGCAAAUGGCACCCUAUUCCCUAUAUAGUGCACUACUUUUGACCAGAGCUCUAAGGGAGCUCUAUGUGCCCUGGUCUAAAGUAGUGCACUACAUAGGGAAUAGGGUGCCAUUUGGGAUGUACACCUCUGUCGCUGUCAGAUAACCUGGUUGAAGUCUUGGAGGUGUUAAAAACCCCACUUGUGUUUUGUUUGGGCUCCUUUGACGUGCAAAUGAAGACCAGAAAUAGCCUGAGAAGAGCACCCUGUUUUGGGGAGAAAGUUUGGAUUUCACAACGCCCUCUAAACUAAAUAGAAGUUCACUUGAGUCACAAGGAGGGACCUUCUCUGAAAGAUUAGGUAUUUCACAAGGCUGUCACAAGAGAGACCAAAUGUCCCGAGAGUCUGAGUAUGUAGGUCUGAUACCUUCUGUCUAAUCAUUUAAAUAAAAAGUUCACAAAAACAUGUCAAUACCCUGCUGGCUGUGGGAAUAUAUGUAAAGUAAUGUCAGCUAAGGUAUUCUGAGAUAUCAUUUGAAUGCCUUCACAUUAGUUAAUCACAGUCUAAUGCCCAUCAAACAGAGAUGGUCAUUCUGACUCAGCCAGUCAACAUCACUGUGGAGAAAUGAAUGGGGAAAGUUUGAAUUUUUACUCGAUUUUACAACAAGCCCUGCAGCUUCUAACCAACAAAUACAAAAAGGGUAAUAAAAGCUCAGGCUGUAAAACUGGGACUGAGCUCAUUUCACACACAGAACACAACGUAGUGGCUCUGUCAGCUUUUUACCAAGUAGGACCAGAUGAAGACAUCACUCAUUAGUUCUUCUAAUCUAACAGAACCCGAGGUCUCUGUGGUAUGAGUAGUWCUCAGUGUUGACAGCACACAUAUACAUUUUUCAUUUAACUGGUCAAGUCAGUUAAGAGCAAAUUCUUAUUGACAAUGACAGCCUACCAGGGAACAGUGGGUUAACUGCCUUGUUGAGAGGCAGAACAACAGAUUUGACCUUGUCACCUCAGGGAUUUGAUCCAGCAACCUUUUGGUUACUGGCCCAACACUCUAACCACUAGACUACCUGCCACCCUGAUAUAACCUAUAAUUCAAUAAUUGUAUGUUUUAUAUGGAUUUCUAUGGUUGCCAGAUUAUAUUGACUCUUUCCCGCACAAUCAGAGCCAAUAUCCUGCCCAAUCCACUAAAAAGUAGCCCAAUUUUAGUUAGAGUAGGUGCUCAAUGCCUUUCCUUGCGUGAGGUAAAACACUUUCCUUAAGUACCCUUGAGACAUUAUCCAACGGCCAAGCAACCGAGUCACGAGAUGGACGGAGAGAUAGAGAGCCAUUUGCUAAAGGCGUGUCAUUGCAAUAAUUGUCUAGGUCAUGUCCUCAAGAGAAAACUGUGAUGGAUUUCUGGGAAUAGCCUGCUGGCGCAGUGUCUAGACGUGAAAUAUGUUGUCCUCAAAACAUUUAAUUACAAGGGAUAAAAAUAACACAUUUUGUGUAGCCCAGUUCUGACCACACCAAGAGAAGAUUUCCCUGUGAAAGAAUCUAAGAAAUUCUCCUGUGAAUGUAUUCCUGACCCCCCCCAUCCCCCAUCCUCUUUACCCCAACCUCUGCUUUUAGAAAGUCAAGUAAGGAAAGUCAGAGAAAAUCCCCAGCAGAUUCCUGAGCCAACAUACACAGGUACUCACAUUACACCUUGUCACCCGCUGGCAAUAACACAAUGUGUGUCUUCAUCAAAAACAAAAACAAACCGUCUAACUUACUACCCUGCUCUGCUCCUUUAAACCCACAGAGAGCCGACCGGAGGGAAAGAGAAACAUUCAUUUUUUUGAAAAAGGCAUUUAAAAAGUCCCAACAUCGGCACUAUGUAAACACCCUCCAGGUGGAGGCCCUGUUGUUCCUAUACUGACACAUACUAGUGGCCUCUGAGUGGUGCAGCGGUCUGAGGCACUGCAUCUCAGUGCUAGAGGUGUCACUACAGACCCUGGUUCGAUUCCAAAGGGUGGUGCACAAUUUGUCCCAGCAUUGUCUGGAUUAGGGUUUGGCUGGAGGUUGGCCGUCAUUGUAAAUAAUCAUUUGUUCUUAACUGACUUCAUUAAAUAAACAUAUGAAGGGUAGCAUCUCAAGUGGCACCCUACAUAGUGCACUACUUUUGACCAGAGCCCUAUACGAAUAGGGUGCCAUUUGGGAAACAUCUGAAGCCUUUACAGGAAAAUAAUGACCUGAUCAAAUACAUGGCAGUUUAAAUGUAUACAGACUCUGGGCUGAGAUGACCUGAUGCUUGGCGGGAAGAAAAGUGUCAGAAACCGUAAGAGGAGAAACAUCUACAACAACACCGUCUGAAUCGUUGAACGGAACACUCAGUCAGAAACCGUAAGAGGAGAAACAUCUAACAAACAACAACCGCCGUCUGAAUGUUGACGGAAACACUCAAGUCAGAAACCGAAGAGGAGAAACAUCUACAACAACACCGUCUGAAUCGUUGAACGGAACACUCAGUCAGAAACCAGGAUAAGAGAGAAACAUCUACAACAACACCGUCUGAAUCGUUGAACGAACACUCAGUCAGAACCGUAAGAGGAGAAACAUCUACCAACACCGCCUGAAUCGUUGAACGGAACACUCAGUCAGAAACGUAAGAGGAGAAACAUCUACAACAACACCGUCUGAAUCGUGAACGGAACACUCGUCAGAAACCGUAAAAGAGAAAACAUCUACAACAACACCGUCUGAAUCGUUGAACGGAACACUCAGUCAAGAAACCGAGAGGAGAACAUCUACUACAAACACACCGUCUGAAUCGUUGAACGGAACACUCAGUCAAAACCG